AGUGAACGCUGGCGGUAGGCCUAACACAUGCAAGUCGAACGGCAGCACAGUAAGAGCUUGCUCUUACGGGUGGCGAGUGGCGGACGGGUGAGGAAUACAUCGGAAUCUACUUUUUCGUGGGGGAUAACGUAGGGAAACUUACGCUAAUACCGCAUACGACCUACGGGUGAAAGCAGGGGAUCUUCGGACCUUGCGCGAUUGAAUGGGCCGAUGUCGGAUUAGCUAGUUGGCGGGGUAAAGGCCCACCAAGGCGACGAUCCGUAGCUGGUCUGAGAGGAUGAUCAGCCACACUGGAACUGAGACACGGUCCAGACUCCUACGGGAGGCAGCAGUGGGGAAUAUUGGACAAUGGGCGCAAGCCUGAUCCAGCCAUACCGCGUGGGUGAAGAAGGUCUUCGGGUUGUAAAGCCCUUUUGUUGGGAAAGAAAAGCAGCAGGUUAAUACCCCGCUGUUCUGACGGUACCCAAAGAAUAAGCACCGGCUAACUUCGUG
rnacentral:rRNA from 1 species